UAGCCCCAUAAUAAUCUGCACUUUCGUACCAAUUGUGUCACUGGAAUAAUGUAUAUCGUGAUUAUAUUUUGCCUCUUUAUUAUUGACUGUUUAACUGUGAAAAUCUUAACGUCAUAACUUUGGACAAUGAUUUUAAGAAAAUUGUAGAACUUCAAGAGAAUAUGCCACAUGAUAUGGACGAAAUAGUGCAGAGGAUAAAGACGUUCAAGGUGCUGGUGCACCCUCGCAUCAGCCUGUUCUACCGGCUGCUGAAGAAAAGUGCAAUCGCUCAGUCGGACCGCCUCUCCGACACGCUCUAUGCCCCUCACAAGUACAACUAAGUGAUUCUACCUAAAAAG